AGAACGAACGCUGGCGGCAGGCCUCAAACAUGCAAGUCUAGGGGGUGUAGCAAUACAUCACCGGCGGACGGGUGCGUAACGCGUGGGAAUAUACCUUUUGGUUCGGAACAACUGAGGGAAACUUCAGCUAAUACCGAAUGUGCCCUAACGGGGAAAGAUUUAUCGCCAAAGGAUUAGCCCGCGUAGGAUUAGCUAGUUGGUGAGGUAAUGGCUCACCAAGGCUCCGAUCCUUAGCUGUUCUGAGAGGAAGAUCAGCCACACUGGGACUGAGACACGGCCCAGACUCCUACGGGAGGCAGCAGUUGGGAAUCUUGGACAAUGGGGGAAACCCUGAUCCAGCCAUGCCGCGUGAGUGAUGAAGGCCUUCGGGUUGUAAAACUCUUUCGACGGGGACGAUAAUGACGGUACCCGUAGAAGAAGCUCCGGCUAACUUCGUGCCAGCAGCCGCGGUAAUACGAAGGGGGCUAGCGUUGUUCGGAAUUACUGGGCGUAAAGCGCGCGCAGGCGGUCUUCCAAGUCAGUGGUGAAAGCCCGGAGCUCAACUCCGGAACUGCCAUUGAAACUGUAAGACUUGAGGAUGAGAGAGGUGAGUGGAAUUCCCAGUGUAGAGGUGAAAUUCGUAGAUAUUGGGAAGAACACCGGUGGCGAAGGCGGCUCACUGGCUCAUAUCUGACGCUCAGGCGCGACAGCGUGGGGAUCAAACAGGAUUAGAUACCCUGGUAGUCCUAGCCCUAAACGAUGACUGCUUGGUGUGACGGGUACCCAAUCCCGCCGUGCCGUAGCUAACGCGUUAAGCAGUCCGCCUGGGGAGUACGGUCGCAAGGCUGAA
rnacentral:rRNA from 1 species